rnacentral:rRNA from 1 species
UGGGUAGUCCGCACGAGCGCACCUCGUCCUUAGUUGUCAGCAGUUCGGCUGGGCACUCUAAGGAAACUGCCGGUGAUAAGCUGGAGGAAGGUGGGGAUGACGUCAAGUCCUCAUGGCCCUUACGGGCUGGGCUACACACGUGCUACAAUGGCGGUUACAAUGGGACGCGAAUGGGCAACCUGGAGCUAAUCCCCAAAAACCGUCUCAGUUCGGAUUGUUCUCUGCAACUCGAGAGCAUGAAGUCGGAAUCGCUAGUAAUCGUGGAUCAGCAUGCCACGGUGAAUACGUUCCCGGGCCUUGUACACACCGCCCGUCACACCAGGGGAGUUGGUUCUACCCGAAGCCGGUGCGCUAACCGUAAGGAGGCAGCCGACCACGGUAGGAUUAGCGACUGUGGUGAAGUCGUAACAAGGUAGCCGUAGGGGAACCUGCGGCUGGAUCACCUCCUUUCU